UUUAAAGACCACAGCAGAGUCAUGCCAGCUGGAGUAAAAGGACAGGAGAGAGAAAAGGAGCCCAGGCAGCAAAUGGAGACAGCUGGGGAGAGGGCUCUGACUUGAGGAACGUACCCGGAUGCGGAGGCCAGAUCCAGGCUGAAGAAAAGAGUCAUGCUGUCAACUGGAGCAGAUUCUCUGCAGUGAGAAGGCUGGAGAAUAAUGUUCCAGCUGCUGUUCUGGUCGGGAAGAUCCCCUGGAGUAGGAAACAGCAACUCACUUCAGUAUUCUUGCCUGGAAAAUCCACAGACAGAGGAACUUGGUGGGCUACAGUCCAUGAGGUCACAAAGAGUCGGACACAACUGAACCCACAUAAACAAGCACGCAUAGUCAUUCUGAAGAACGGGAUUUCUUUAGGUUGACAUUUUACUUUUGUUGAUUUGCACAGCUUGUACAGAAUCUAUUGGAACAUUCAGAUUUAUGUAGCCACCAUUUCUUCACCUCUCUCUCUCCAAAUUCUUGAUUCCUUCAAAUCCCCAUAUUGAUAGCAAAAAUAAAGAUUUUGAGAUAU